rnacentral:sRNA from 1 species
GAAUAUCGCCGGGGUUUCCUCCUCCCAUUGCUCCGGCGGUCAGAAGACCGGUCCUCCUCCUCCCAUGCCGGUCUUUCCAGAUGACACCCGCCGCUCCCUCCAGCGGCGGGUGUUUUCG